AGCGAAAUGCGAUACAUGGUGUGAAUUGCAGAAUCCCGUGAACCAUCGAGUCUUUGAACGCAAGUUGCGCCCGAAGCCAUUAGGCCGAGGGCACAUCUGCC
rnacentral:rRNA from 1 species